CAUGCCGCGUGUGUGAAGAAGGCCCUAGGGUUGUAAAGUCCUUUCGUUGGUGAAGAUAAUGACGGUAACCAAAGAAGAAGCCCCGGCUAAUUUCGUGCCAGCAGCCGCGGUAAUACGAAGGGGGCUAGCGUUGUUCGGAAUUACUGGGCGUAAAGCGCGCGUAGGCGGCUUUGUAAGUUAGAGGUGAAAUCCCGGGGCUCAACCCCGGAACUGCCUUUAAAACUACAUGGCU
rnacentral:rRNA from 1 species